CCCAGACUCCUACGGGAGGCAGCAGUGGGGAAUAUUGGGCAAUGGGCGCAAGCCUGACCCAGCAACGCCGCGUGAAGGAAGAAGGCUUUCGGGUUGUAAACUUCUUUUCUCAGGGACGAAGCAAGUGACGGUACCUGAGGAAUAAGCCCCGGCUAACUACGUGCCAGCAGCCGCGGUAAUACGUAGGGGGCAAGCGUUAUCCGGAUUUACUGGGUGUAAAGGGGGCGCAGACGGCGAUGCAAGCCAGGAGUGAAAGCCCGGGGCCCAACCCCGGGACUGCUCUUGGAACUGCGUGGCUGGAGUGCAGGAGGGGCAGGCGGAAUUCCUGGUGUAGCGGUGAAAUGCGUAGAUAUCAGGAGGAACACCGGUGGCGAAGGCGGCCUGCUGGACUGCAACUGACGUUGAGGCCCGAAAGCGUGGGGAGCAAACAGGAUUAGAUACCCUGGUAU
rnacentral:rRNA from 1 species